ensembl:snoRNA
GUGCAUCUACUGAUAGACCUGAAGCCAAACUGUGACUUUGUGGUUUGCAUUUAGAUGCAAGAAAAACUCCUUCCAUUUUCUACCUGAUUUCUCUGUAGCACUUCAGAUUGAAUAUGGGAUAAACAUUU